UUAAAGGUGGCUGAAUGUAGGCAGUUGGCUGUAAACCUUCUUAUGAGAGAUUCUCCCUUUUA
rnacentral:tRNA from 1 species